rnacentral:ncRNA from 1 species
AAACAUACAGGUUUGGUCCCAGCCUUCCUGUUAACUUGUAAUAAACUUACACAUGCAAGCAUCCACACUCUGGUGAGAAUGUCCUCUGGGUCAGCAAGACUAAGAGGAGCUGGUAUCAAGCACACAUCUGCAGCUCACAACACCUUGCUUAACCACACCCCCAUGGGAGACAGCAGUGACAAAAAUUAAGCCAUAAACGAAAGUUUGACUAAGUUUUAUUGACUAGGGUUGAUAAAUCUCGUGUCAGCCACUGCAGCCAUACGAUUAACCCAAGCUAACAGGAAUACAGCGUAAAACAUGUUAAAGCACUACACCAAAUAGAGUUAAAUUCUAAUUAAGUGGCAAAAAGCCAUAAUUAUAAUAAAAAAUAAAUGACAAAAUAACUCUACAAUAGCUGAUACACUAAUAGAUAAGACCCAAACUGGGAUUAGAUACCCCACUAUGCUCAGCCCUAAACACAUAUAAUUACAGAAACAAAAUUAUUCGCCAGAUUACUACUGGCAAUAGCUUAAAACUCAAAGGACUUGGUGGUGCUUUAUACCCUUCUAGACGAGCCUGUUCUAUAAUCGAUAAACUGUGAUAAACCUCACCAAUCCUUGCUAAUACAGUCUAUAUACUGCCAUCUUCAGCAAACCUUAAAAAGGAACAAAAGUAAGCAUAAUCAUAAUAAAUAAAAAUGUUAGGUCAAGGUGUAACCUAUGAGUGGGAAGAAAUGGGCUACAUUUUCUAUCUUAAGAAAACCCAAUACGAAAGUUAUUAUGAAACUAAUGACCAAAGGAGGAUUUAGUAGUAAACAAAAAUAGAGUGCUUAGUUGAAUUAGGCCAUGAAACACACACAAACUGCCCAUCACAUUCCUCAGAUAAAUACGAUACACUCAAGUCUAUUUACACGCACCAACCAUAUGAGAGGAGACAAGUCAUAACAAGGCAAGCAUACUGGAAAGUGUGCUUGGACAAAUCAAGAU